CCAACAGGGAUUGCCCCAGUAACGGCGAGUGAAGCGGCAACAGCUCAAAUUUGAAAUCUGGCCCCCCGGCCCGAGUUGUAAUUUGGAGAGGAUGCUUUUGGCGCGGCGCCGUCCGAGUUCCUUGGAACAGGACGCCACAGAGGGUGAGAGCCCCGUACGGACGGACGCCUGGCCUAUACAAAGCUCCUUCGACGAGUCGAGUAGUUUGGGAAUGCUGCUCAAAAUGGGAGGUAAAUUUCUUCUAAAGCUAAAUACCGGCCAGAGACCGAUAGCGCACAAGUAGAGUGAUCGAAAGAUGAAAAGCACUUUGAAAAGAGGGUUAAAAAGUACGUGAAAUUGUUGAAAAGGGAAGCGCCUGUGACCAGACUUGCGCCCCGUGGACCACCCGGCGUUCUCGCCGGUGCACUCCGCGGGGCGCAGGCCAGCAUCGGUUUUCCUAGGGGGACAAAGGCCGCGGGAACGUAGCUCCUUCGGGAGUGUUAUAGCCCGCGGCGGCAUGCCCCUGGGGGGACCGAGGACCGCGCUCGGCAAGGAUGCGCG
rnacentral:rRNA from 1 species